UGAAACCGAUUCAGGGGUAAACCUGAGAAACCCGAAAGGUCGAAUGGGGAAAUUCAUUCGCGUUUCGAUGGUCGGCGUUGAACGGUUGUGUGUGACGGACGGGGUCCGCUUCGUUCGCUCCCUCCGUUUUUCGAACCGACUUCGAACGCGUGCACUUUUCCUCUAGUAGGACGUUGCGAUCCGUUGGGUGUCGAUUUAAGGCCUGCGAUGGAGCUCGCGUGGACGUUUCGGCGUACCAUACGAACUCGCGGUGUCCCGAUCGGCUGCUCGACGGUAUAAAGAUGGCGCGGGGCCGCUACAUAGUUAGCGUUCGACCUACGGCAAGCACGUUCGGUGUCGACGGCGAUCAGACCUGGUCGGAUCCCGUCCCCGGACGACUGUUGGCUCGUUGUGUUCUCGAACAGACCUCGUUGAAACGCCGAUCUGCGACGCUAUAGCUUUGGGUACUUUCAGGACCCGUCUUGAAACCGGGACCAAGGA
rnacentral:rRNA from 1 species